rnacentral:rRNA from 1 species
GAUGAACGCUGACGGCGUGCCUAAUACAUGCAAGUCGAGCGAAUGGAUUAAGAGCUUGCUCUUAUGAAGUUAGCGGCGGACGGGUGAGUAACACGUGGGUAACCUGCCCAUAAGACUGGGAUAACUCCGGGAAACCGGGGCUAAUACCGGAUAAUAUUUUGAACUGAACGGUUCGAAAUUGAAAGGCGGCUUCGGCUGUCACUUAUGGAUGGAACCGCGUCGCAUUAGCUAGUUGGUGAGGUAACGGCUCACCAAGGCAACGAUGCGUAGCCGACCGGAGAGGGUCAUCGGCCACACUGGGACUGAGACACGGCCCAGACUCCUACGGGAGGCAGCAGUAGGGAAUCUUCCGCAAUGGACGAAAGUCUGACGGAGCAACGCCGCGUGAGUGAUGAAGGCUUACCGGUCGUAAAACUCUGUUGUUAGGGAAGAACAAGUGCUAGUUGAAUAAGCUGGCACCUUGACGGUACCUAACCAGAAAGCCACGGCUAACUACGUGCCAGCCGCCGCGGUAA